rnacentral:rRNA from 1 species
GAGAUGGGAGAAUAAAGCUAAAGGUGAAUGCCUUGGCAAUUUGAGCCGAAGAAGGACGUGUGUUUAAGCACGAUAUCAACGAUGAGCCCUUAAACAGGCGUUUAAUCGUUGGUUUCCGAAUGGGGUAACCCCAGUGGUGGUAACACCACUGAUCAGUACUUUAGUACUGAGGGGAACUCGGAGAACUGAAACAUCUCAGUAUCCGAAGGAAAAGAAAUCAAUGUCGUCAAAAGACGAUCGGCCUCUGGCCGAAGAUGUCCUUAGUAGCGGCGAGCGAAAAGGACAAAGCCUAAACCCCGACCUUGCGUCGGGGAGUUGUAGGGCAGAAAAUAUGGGAUUGAUUAAGGGUAUAAGAAUGAUCUGGAAAGGUCAGCCAUAGAAAGUGAUAGCCUUGUAUUUUAAACCCAAAAUCACCCUAUUCUGUUCCUAAGUACCACGAGGCACGGCAACCUUGUGGGAAGCUGGGUCGGUCACGAUCCAAGGCUAAAUACUCAAAUUGACCGAUAGCGAACUAGUACCGUGAGGGAAAGGUGAAAAGUCCCCCAGCGAGGGGAGUGAAAUAGAACCUGAAACCUUUAGCUAACAAACAGCGAGAGUCUGGUACCAUCUGGUGCCUGAUGAUCGCGUGCCUAUUGAAGAAUGAGUCAGCGAGUUUCCGCUACUUUAUUUAUCUAACCACCCACGGUGGGGAGGUAUAGGGAAACCGAGUCCUAAUAGGGCGUGUUAAUAGCAAUAUUAACUAAUAAAGAGCGGAAGACCCGAAACCGGGUGAGCUAACCAUGAGCAGGGUGAACUUUCCAACUUGGAGAGGGAGGCCCGAACUCGUUGCCGGUGAAACGGCAUGAGACGACUUGUGGUUAGGGGUAAUAUGCCUAUCGAACCCGGAGAUAGCUGGUUCUCCUCGAGAUAUAUUUAGGUAUAGCCUUCGGUAAAACUUUAUGGGCUAGAGCGACUAGAUAGUUCCGAAAGCCUUUGGCGAUCGGAACUAACUAAACUCCGAAUACAUAAAGUCAAUUGCCGAGGAGUCAGUCCCGCCGGGAUAAGCUGGUGUGGGCGAGAGGGAAACAUCCCAGAUUCCCGUCUAAGGUUCCUAAAUGAUUAUUAAGUGAAAAGGUCGUUAAUUUUCCAACACAGCAGGGAGGUUGGCUCAGAAGCAGCCACCCUUUAAAGAGUGCGUAACAGCUCACCUGAAUAUUCAGAGACUAUUUGGUUUCUGAUGGAAGAUUGGCGCCUAAAAUGAUCGGAACUAAAUAAUCUACCGAAGACGGAAGGAGGUACCGUCUGGUACCUCCGGUAGAGGAGCUUUCCUGUUGCGAUGAAGUUCAGAUGCGAAUCUGGAUGGAGCGGCAGGAAGUGAGAAUGCUGACAUGAGUAGUGUUUCUUCCGAUGAAAACUCGGAAUGCUGCAUACCCAAGGUUUCCUCAGCAACGUCAAUCGACUGAGGGUUAGUCGGAGCUAAGGGAGUUACCGAAUGGUACCUCCCGAUGUUCAAACUGUUAAUAUUCAGUUACUGUAUAUUUGGCGUUAUUACUGAAGAACUGACGAAGCGUGAUAAUCCCGCCCUACUAUACGUGGGGCUAAGCAACAAAUUUUUUCGCUUGUCGAAAAAAUGAGUUGUAAAUGCGAUCCUGCCUUGUGGCGGGAAAGCGGGAUAAUUUAUGCUUCCGAGAAAAAGUUUUUCAGGAGUCAAAUAUACAACCGUACCGAUAACCGACUCAGGUGGGUUGGUGGAGAACACUGAAGCAUACGGGUAAGGGUGGUUCAAGGAAUUCGGCAAAAAAGCUGAGCGUAAGUUUUCGAGAAGCUCUCUCCGACCUUGCGUCGGAGUUCAACAAAAGUUUGUCAAUCGACUGUUUAACUAAAACACAGGCUCCUGCUAACCUGAAUAAGGACGGUAUAGGAGCUGAGGCCUGUCCGGUACUGGUAAGUUAACCACUGAGGCUGACCCGCCAAAUCGGAGGGAAGGUUUCGGUGUAAGCUCCAGUGAACGACAGCUCUAACCCUGAGAGUUCUAAGGUAGCGUAACCCCUUGCCGGGUAAGUUCCGGCCCGCAUGAAAGGUCUAACGAAUUGACAACUGUCUUGAACCGCUGCCCGACGAAAUUGAAAUGGCUGUGAAGAUGCGGCCUACUUGCACCUGGACAAAAAGACCCCGGAAGCUUUACUGAAACUAGACAUUGGUGGAAGAUGAUGGACUGUUGAGCGUAGGAGGGAGUCCCGACGUUACGUCGGGGCACCAAUGAAACACCUCUCUUCGAUCAUUUUUCAUCUUACCCCGUCUUUGACGAGGAACAGUGUUUGGUGGUCAGUUUAACUGGGGCGGUUUCCUCCAAAAGCGUAACGGAGGAGCGCAAAGGUCAGCUUACUCCGGAUGGAAAUCGGAGAGGAAGUGCAAACGCAAAAGCUGGCUUAACUGCGAGGAUGACUAUCCGAGCUCAGGUACCAGUCGGUACCUGAUGGAGUACUGUAUAGUACUCUAAGAUGCGAAAGCAGGCGUUAGUGAUCCCCCGUCUCACAGUGAUUGUGGGCGGGGCUUAACGGAUAAAAGCUACUCCGGGGAUAACAGGCUAGUCGCGUCCGAGAGUUCAUAUCGACGACGCGGAUCGGCACCUCGAUGUCGGCUCAUCGCAUCCUGGGGCUGGAGUCGGUCCCAAGGGUCGGGCUGUUCGCCCGUUAAAGCGGUACGCGAGCUGGGUUCAGAACGUCGUGAGACAGUUCGGUCUCUAUCCGGUGUAAGCGCUUGGAUUUUUGAGGGGGCUCUUCCACAGUACGAGAGGACCUGGAAGAAAAAAUCCCUGGUGUACCAGUUGUCCCAAAAGGGCAUUGCUGGGUAGCUAUAUUUUUAUUCGAUAAACACUGAAUGCAUCUCAAGUGUGAAGCGAACCCCAAGAUUAGAAAUCCAUAUCAGUUCACCAGUAGAUGACUGGUUAUAUAGGCGUUAGGUGGAGUCACGAGCAAUCGUGAUUAGCCAAGACGUACUAAUGAACGAUCUCCCAUCUCUU